AAAAGAUGAAGUGAUAGUUGACCUUGUUAAUAGGUGCCGCACCAACCAGAAAAAGCUGAUGCAGAUGCUCACUUCAACUGGUCAUGCCAGGUUGAUCUAGUGAAGGAUGGGGGACAUACAUAUUUCAUCAGGUUUCUUGAUAGCCAGGAAGCAUAUCCAGAACAGUGUGCAAUGGCUGCAUUUGUUUUGGCUGUAAUUGUGGAUGGUCACAGACGGGGUCAAGGUUUUUCCAUAGUUAAAAAAUUAUAUGGUUUGGAUAAUUAAUGCUAUGAAAUGUCCUUGUUUUACCCUCUAGACAGCAGAGCGGACAUUGUCUUGUUUUCAAUUUUUUGUGUGGAUGGUAGUGUGCCAAUGGAGCUGUCCACUGGCACACCAUGAUUUUAUCUGUGACUGCUGACACUGACACUGACAUUUCAUUACAACCACAAGUCACUUGUUGUAAUUUUGUACUGUUAUGGUCCAUCUCCAUGGCUGCCAGAUUAUUGUUUAGCUGUAUCCAUACAUAGAUAUAUAUAUACAUAAUUUUAGACCUUA